GCACCACAAGAACGCGUGGAGCAUGUGGCUUAAUUUGACUCAACGCGGGAAAUCUUACCGGGUCCGGACACACUGAGGAUUGACAGGCAAUAUCUAAAUCGUUUAUAAUUCUAUUAUAAUACGUUAUUUAGUGUUAAAUAUGCUAGUCCUUUCAUGAUUAUGUGAUAGGUGGUGCAUGGCCGUUCUUAGUUCGUGGAGUGAUCUGUCUGCUUAAUUGCGUUUCACUAAGGGCCCAUAAAUUCAAGGUAUGUUAGCUAUCGUUUCUCAAUUGACCCCUUAUUUUUGAUAAGCGCGUGUCUUUUAGAGUUUAAACAUUGCGCAUGCUGUUGGGUCCUGAAAGCAACGAACGUGACCGCAACGUCUUAUUGCCUUUAUCUUGUUAUAUUCUAAUUUAAUUAGAAAUAACUAACAGAGGCUAAUUUAAAAUUAGACGGACCGCUGUACUUUUCUUAAACCAGAGGAAGGUUGC
rnacentral:rRNA from 1 species